rnacentral:rRNA from 1 species
GGGCAUGGCGCUGCCUACCAUGCAGUCGGACGGUAGCACAGAUGAUUUGGCCUGGUGGGUGGUGAGUGGCGGAUGGGUGAUACGUGUGAGGUGUCUGCCAGAGAGGGGGGGAUCGGCUGUGGACGGAGUGGCUUAUCCCACAAUCUAUCGAUAAAACCGAGGGGGCUACCUUCCUCCCUCUCUAUGGUUGAUGAACCCCAUAUGGGAUUUAGUUCUCUAGGUGGCGGGAACGGCCUACCCAUGUGACAAACUGAUCCCCUCAGGUCUGUCUGAACGAGGAAUGACCCACCCCACUCUCGGAAUCUGACGACAGGGUCCACACCUUCCUACCGAGAGGGCAUCCAGUCGUGGUAUUAUUUCUGCACUCGAUGGGCAGCCAUGCAUCCAUGCCAUGCGUGCCGUGUGUGUAGGAAAACUGUUUUCGGUUUGUAACUUAACUUUGAGUCGGAAAAUAGUGGCGAUGCUGGUUAAAUACGCGGGAUGAUUGGACUUUACCCGCAAAAAACAAGCACCCGGCUAACCCUGUGCCCAGACAGCGCGGACACGCAGAGUGUGCAAGCGUUAAUCGGAAUUAUUGACUGCGCGUAAAGCACGCACACGCGCUGUGUUCACUCAUAUGUGAAAUCCCGCGGGCUUAACCUGCUGACUGCAUGCUUUUGACAGUGACGUGCUAGUGUCUCGAAGAGGGGGAAAAUAACUCGUGUGUGUAGCGAAAUAAGUGCAAAUAUAUGUGGAAAAAAUAAUGGGGGGGAGGAAGGCCCCCUCGGUGCAAUAAAGACUGACUCUCAUGAGAGAAAGUGUGGGGAGCGAACAAGACUAGAAUACAUCCGCGUGGCCCCCCCCUACAUAAAGUAUACCCAUUUGUGGGGUUUCCUUUUGUUGAGUGUCUUGCUGAGCCAACAAGUUGACUCCCCCGCGUGGAGAGUAGCGACACUGAGACUAAAACUGAAGUGAUGUGGGAGCCGCCCCAGCACGCGCAUGAUCGUGCAUGUUAUUUUUAUUGCUAUGCGCCGAACAGUAUCUUACCCUUCUUCAUGAUCUCAUACUGCUGUUAGCAGAUGGUACUGUUCUUAUUACGACAUGCAUGUGACAAGUGCUGCAUGACUGGUCGUCAGCUCGUGCUGUGAAGUUGAGGGUUAAGUACCGCAACACGCACAACUGCUACUAUUGUCAGCCAGCGAUUCGCUCGGACACUCAAAGCAGAUUCACGGUGAUAAACCGGAGGAAGGUGGGGAUGACGUCGAGUCCUUAUGGCCCUUACGAGUAGGGCUACACACGUGAUACAAUGGCGCAUACAAAGAGAAGCGACCUCGCGAGAGCAAGCGGACCUCAUAAAGUGCGUCGUAGUCCGGAUCGGAGUCUGCAACUCGAGUGCCGUGAAGUCGGAAUCGCUAGUAAUCGUGGAUCAGAAUGCCACGGGGAAUACGUUCCCCGGUCCUGGUCCACACCGCCCGUCACCCCAUGGGAGUGGGUUGCACAAGAAGUAGGUAGCUUAACCUCUCGGGAGGGCGCUACUCAGUGGAUCAGUGG